rnacentral:pre_miRNA from 1 species
AUAUUACUCCCUUCAUCCCAAAAUUAUUGUUUUAUAUUUGUCUAGAUAUGAAUGUAUCUAGUCACGGUUUAGUAUUUAGAUACAUCCAUGUUUAGACAAACCUAAGACAAGAAUUUUGAGACGGAGGGAGUAUUAA